rnacentral:rRNA from 1 species
AACGAACGCUGGCGGCAUGCCUUACACAUGCAAGUCGAACGGUAGAGGGGGCAACCCCUUGAGAGUGGCGAACGGGUGAGUAAAGCAUCGGAACGUGCCCAGUAGUGGGGGAUAGCCCGGCGAAAGCCGGAUUAAUACCGCAUACGACCUACGGGUGAAAGGGGGGGAUCGCAAGACCUCUCGCUAUUGGAGCGGCCGAUGUCAGAUUAGGUAGUUGGUGGGGUAAAGGCCUACCAAGCCGACGAUCUGUAGCUGGUCUGAGAGGACGACCAGCCACACUGGGACUGAGACACGGCCCAGACUCCUACGGGAGGCAGCAGUGGGGAAUUUUGGACAAUGGGCGCAAGCCUGAUCCAGCCAUGCCGCGUGCGGGAAGAAGGCCUUCGGGUUGUAAACCGCUUUUGUCAGGGAAGAAAUCUUCUGGGUUAAUACCCUGGGAGGAUGACGGUACCUGAAGAAUAAGCACCGGCUAACUACGUGCCAGCCGCCGCGGUAA